UAGAAUCCUCUUAAAGGGUUAAAACACGGAAGAUGCACGAAAGUGCGACCGAAAGCAAUAGCAUCAUCGUCGCGGGUGCAUCGGUAGCAUCGAUGCCGCGUGAAAUUAGCCGCGCGAUCGUCGACUCGCUGCUCGACUCGUCGACUCGUCGGUUGGACCGAUCCACUUUGUCACUUAGCACUUUGCGUAUGCAUCGUAGCGUUAUGUAUUCGUACUGUGUAUUUCUCGAGCUCGUAUCGAAUUUAUUCGCGCUGCUUGCACUCAGCAUCGUGGCUUUGUCUCUCUGCAACGCUCGAAUACACAGCGCGAAAAUUAUUGGAAAAUUGUCGAGCGACGCGAGCGGACUAGUCCAUUAUUCGGCCAUCGAAAGGCAAUGCCUAUACGGUGCGCGUCGCGUACGAUUUACGUAUCGGGAGUGUUAUUUAGCCGGGAGUGUCGUGUGUUGUGUUUUGAUGAUCAGUAUGAUCGUAAUGAACGUGUCCUCGCGCGAGUGAACGAACAUAACCUCGGGAGUGCCGCUCUGGACACCGCGCGAUCGUCAUAUUCCAUCGAUCGGUCAGCGAUAUCAGCGGUAAUCAGUCGAUUGUCGUCCGCGCGAAUGAGUGCUACAUGGAUAAACAACGAAUAAGAGAGGAAGACAAGGCCCUAGGAGGCAUCGGGUGACAUCCGAGCAACCGUGAGAUUAUUUAAGUGAUUGUGUGUCACGACACCCCGCUGCUGAGCAUCGUAUUUAUUAUAUAUAGUGAUUGUGUGUGUCAGGACAUCCCACUGCUGAGCAUCAUAUUUAUUAUAUAAAGUGAUUGUGUGUGUCAGGACAUCCCACUGCUGAGCAUCAUAUUUGUGAGUCAUCUUUAUUAUCUUUUAUUCUAACUUGCAACAUCUAUAGGAAAUUUCUACGAUUACAUUGUGUUUUCCAUAUGAAAUGCAUAUCUAUAUAAAAUCCAGUUACAUUAAAGAAUAAGUUGAGAAUAUAAAAAUAUUGCACAUGUAUUUGGGGAUCUAUAAUGUUGUUUUGUGUGAUAUAAAAUAAACAGCAUUUAAUUAAAAAUAUAAUUAUUCGUCAAUUUAUUAUAAUUAUACAAUCAAAGAAAUGUAUAUAUAAAACUAACGUAAGUUAAAUAUUGUUGCGUUUUUUUAAUGGCAGAUAUUCUGUUUUAUUAUUUAAUUGCAAUUUGCAAUCUAAUUUCGGGAUAUGCAUUUACUAGUUGUUCCUUUUAUUGAUUUUUGUCAAGUGAAUUUAGCAUGUAUGUAUAUAUUUUUAUUUAAUAUAAAUUUGAAAUUGAUACGUAAGUACGUAACGCAUAUUGAAUUUACCUUAAUGUUAAAUUAAUAUAUGUAAAAACAAGAAAGAAGAGAAAAAUUCUGUAAUACAUAUGCAAUAUGUUAUAUACUGCACAAAUAUUAUAUUUGCGGGAGUCACGUGAUAACAGUAUAAUAUUUUAAUGAUGCUGGAUAAAUUUAACUUGAGUAAUCGUUCCAAAUUUCUUAGC